rnacentral:rRNA from 1 species
GAUGAACGCUGGCGGCGUGCCUAAUACAUGCAAGUCGAGCGAACAGACGAGGAGCUUGCUCCUCUGACGUUAGCGGCGGACGGGUGAGUAACACGUGGAUAACCUACCUAUAAGACUGGGAUAACUUCGGGAAACCGGUGCUAAUACCGGAUAAUAUAUUGAACCGCAUGGUUCAAUAGUGAAAGACGGUUUUGCUGUCACUUAUAGAUGGAUCCGCGCCGCAUUAGCUAGUUGGUAAGGUAACGGCUUGCCAAGGCAACGAUGCGUAGCCGACCUGAGAGGGUGAUCAGCCACACUGGAACUGAGACACGGUCCAGACUCCUACGGGAGGCAGCAGUAGGGAAUCUCCCGCAAUGGGCGAAAGCCUGACGGAGCAACGCCGCGUGAGUGAUGAAGGUCUUCGGAUCGUAAAACUCUGUUAUUAGGGAAGAACAAAUGUGUAAGUAACUAUGCACGUCUUGACGGUACCUAAUCAGAAAGCCACGGCUAACUACGUG